AUCUAAAUAGUUUAUUUAAAAUUUUGAUUUGUGGUAUCAAUGAAAUGAGAUUUGUCAUUUUAGAUC
rnacentral:tRNA from 1 species